rnacentral:rRNA from 1 species
UACGGGGGGGGCAAGCGUUGCUCGGAAUCACUGGGCGUAAAGCGCACGUAGGCGGCUUCUUAAGUCAGGGGUGAAAUCCUGGAGCUCAACUCCAGAACUGCCUUUGAUACUGAGAGGCUUGAGUCCGGGAGAGGUGAGUGGAACUGCGAGUGUAGAGGUGAAAUUCGUAGAUAUUCGCAAGAACACCAGUGGCGAAGGCGGCUCACUGGCCCGGUACUGACGCUGAGGUGCGAAAGCGUGGGGAGCAAACAGG